rnacentral:rRNA from 1 species
AUUGAACGCUGGCGGCAGGCUUAACACAUGCAAGUCGAGCGGGGGAGGUUGCUUCGGUAACUGACCUAGCGGCGGACGGGUGAGUAAUGCUUAGGAAUCUGCCUAUUAGUGGGGGACAACAUCCCGAAAGGGAUGCUAAUACCGAAUACGUCCUACGGGAGAAAGCAGGGGACCUUCGGGCCUUGCGCUAAUAGAUGAGCCUAAGUCGGAUUAGCUAGUUGGUGGGGUAAAGGCCUACCAAGGCGACGAUCUGUAGCGGGUCUGAGAGGAUGAUCCGCCACACUGGGACUGAGACACGGCCCAGACUCCUACGGGAGGCAGCAGUGGGGAAUAUUGGACAAUGGGGGGAACCCUGAUCCAGCCAUGCCGCGUGUGUGAAGAAGGCCUUUUGGUUGUAAAGCACUUUAAGCGAGGAGGAGGCUACUGGUAUUAAUACUACCGGAUAGUGGACGUUACUCGCAGAAUAAGCACCGGCUAACUCCGUGCCAGCCGCCGCGGUAAAAC